rnacentral:rRNA from 1 species
AAUCAACGCUGGCGGCGUGCCUAACACAUGCAAGUCGAACGCGAAAGGGGCUUCGGCCCUGAGUAGAGUGGCGAACGGGUGAGUAACACGUGGGUGAUCUACCUCUGAGUGGGGGAUAACGUUCCGAAAGGAGCGCUAAUACCGCAUGACGUUCUGGGUUUGAAGACCUGGAAACCAAAGCCGGGGACCGCAAGGCCUGGCGCUUGGAGAGGAGCCCGCGCCUGAUUAGCUAGUUGGGAGGUAAUGGCUCACCAAGGCGACGAUCAGUAGCCGGCCUGAGAGGGCGGACGGCCACACUGGGACUGAGACACGGCCCAGACUCCUACGGGAGGCAGCAGUGGGGAAUUGUUCGCAAUGGGCGCAAGCCUGACGACGCAACGCCGCGUGGAGGAUGAAGGUCUUCGGAUUGUAAACUCCUGUUGAUCGGAAAGAACAGGCUUUGACCUAACACGUCAGAGCACUGACGGUACCGGUUGAGGAAGCCACGGCUAACUC